rnacentral:rRNA from 1 species
GAUGAACGCUGGCGGCGUGCUUAACACAUGCAAGUCAAACGAAGCACCUUGAUUUGAUUCUUCGGAUGAAGAUCUUGGUGACUGAGUGGCGGACGGGUGAGUAACGCGUGGGUAACCUGCCUCAUACAGGGGGAUAACAGUUAGAAAUGACUGCUAAUACCGCAUAAGACCACAGCACCGCAUGGUGCAGGGGUAAAAACUCCGGUGGUAUGAGAUGGACCCGCGUCUGAUUAGGUAGUUGGUGGGGUAACGGCCUACCAAGCCGACGAUCAGUAGCCGACCUGAGAGGGUGACCGGCCACAUUGGGACUGAGACACGGCCCAAACUCCUACGGGAGGCAGCAGUGGGGAAUAUUGUACAAUGGGGGAAACCCUGAUGCAGCGACGCCGCGUGAGCGAUGAAGUAUUUCGGUAUGUAAAGCUCUAUCAGCAGGGAAGAAAAUGACGGUACCUGACUAAGAAGCACCGGCUAAAUACGUG